rnacentral:rRNA from 1 species
UACCCGCAGCUCGAGUGGUGAUCGCGUCUCUUGAGCCUAAACCGUUCCUAGUCGGCCAUGUAAAUCCCUGCGUAAAUUGGGCCGCUUAACGGUACAAAUUCCGGGGGGACUGCAAGGCUAGGGACCGGGCGAGGUCAGAGGUACUUUCGGGGUAGGAGUGAAAUCCUGUAAUCCCGAAGGGACCACCUGUGGCGAAAGCGUCUGACUUGAACGGCUACGACGAUGAGGAACGAAGGCUAGGGGAGCAGACAGG